AUUGAACGCUGGCGGCAGGCCUAACACAUGCAAGUCGAGCGGAUGAAGGGAGCUUGCUCCUGGAUUCAGCGGCGGACGGGUGAGUAAUGCCUAGGAAUCGGCCUGGUAGUGGGGGAUAACGUCCGGAAACGGGCGCUAAUACCGCAUACGUCCUGAGGGGGAAGGUGGGGGAUCUUCGGACCUCACGCUAUCAGAUGAGCCUAGGUCGGAUUAGCUAGUGGGUGGGGUAAAGGCCUACCAAGGCGACGAUCCGUAACUGGUCGGAGAGGAUGAUCAGUCACACUGGAACUGAGACACGGUCCAGACUCCUACGGGAGGCAGCAGUGGGGAAUAUUGGACAAUGGGCGAAAGCCUGAUCCAGCCAUGCCGCGUGUGUGAAGAAGGUCUUCGGAUUGUAAAGCACUUUAAGUUGGGAGGAAGGGCAGUAAGUUAAUACCUUGCUGUUUUGACGUUACCAACAGAAUAAGCACCGGCUAACUUCGUG
rnacentral:rRNA from 1 species